rnacentral:rRNA from 1 species
UACGAGGGGGGGCGAGCGUUGCCCGGAUUUAUUGGGCGUAAAAGGGCGCGUAGGCGGCUCUGCACGUCCGUUGUGAAAUCGCCCCGGCUCAACUGGGGCGGGGUCAGCGGAUACGGCGGAGCUUGAGCAAGCUAGGGGGCAAUGGAAUUCCCGGUGUAGUGGUGGAAUGCGUAGAUAUCGGGAGGAACACCAGUGGCGAAGGCGGUUGCCUGGGGCUUUGCUGACGCUGAUGCGCGAAAGC